rnacentral:rRNA from 1 species
AACGAACGCUGGCGGCGCGCCUAAUACAUGCAAGUCGAGCGAGAAGACGUAGCAAUACGUUUGUAGAGCGGCGAACGGGUGAGGAAUACAUGGGUAACCUACCCUCGAGUGGGGAAUAACUAGCCGAAAGGUUAGCUAAUACCGCGUACGCUCCUUGGACUUCGGUUCAGGGAGGAAAGCGAUACCGUGGGUAUCGCGCUCUUGGAUGGGCUCAUGUCCUAUCAGCUUGUUGGNGAGGUAACGGCUCACCAAGGCUUCGACGGGUAGCUGGUCUGAGAGGACAAUCAGCCACACUGGCACUGCGACACGGGCCAGACUCCUACGGGAGGCAGCAGUAAGGAAUAUUGCGCAAUGGGCGAAAGCCUGACGCAGCGACGCCGCGUGGGGGAUGAAGGUCUUCGGAUUGUAAACCCCUUUCGGGAGGGAAGAUGGAACGAGCAAUCGUUCGGACGGUACCUCCAGAAGCAGCCACGGCUAACUUCGUGCCAGCCGCCGCCGUAA